GUAAAGAGCUGUUUCAAAGGGAAUGUAAACAGAUUGCCUCCAGGCAAGAGGAAGAGAGGACAGAGGUACCAGAAGGCUCCGGUUGGAAGCCCAGAAUUCGUCAACACGGAAAUAGGCUCUUCAAGAUAAAAAAAAAAAAAAAAAAAACUUGACCAAGAUCUUGUUGCUAGAAAAUAGCAAAGCCAGGACGGGCAUUACAGCAAGGUGCCGCGGAAAAUCUCCAACCCUGCCGCGAACAUACUAACUCCUGUCUCUCCUUCAAAAACUCAAUGAUCUGAAGUGCACAUGUAUGUAAAUUUACAAAAGAAGAAACAGCGACUUCCAGGCCUGAAAAUCUCUUGGGGUGUAAAUGCUUCUUCUCCCGAACACUUUACAAGAGGAAAAUUUUAUCUUUGAUUUGGGUCUGAGGCAACUGUAUGAAAUUUUCCUUCAAACAAGAAAGGUUUGGGGACUUCUCUGGUGGUGCAGUGGAUGGGAGUCCGCCUACCAAUGCAGGGGACACAGGCUCGAUCCUGGUCUGGCAAGAUCCUACCUGCUGUGGAGCAACUAAGCCCGAGUGCCACGACUACUGAGCCUGCAAUUUAGAGCUUGUGCUCUGCAACAGGAGAAGCCACCACGAUGAGAAGGCCACACACAGCAAAGGAGAGUAGUCCCAGAUCACGGCAACAAAGAACCAGAACAGCCAAAAAUAAAUAAAUCAAUAAAAUUAUUUUAAAAAAGAAAGGUUUGGGAGUAGUGGAGUGUUUUUGUACAACCCAGGGUAGAUGUGGUACCAAGAGACAAAAGUAAAUAAAUAAAAGCCAUACUGUGGUCAGAACAAG
ensembl:lncRNA